AUACACACACCCACCUCCACACACUUUAAAAUGUAGAAAUUAUAUUUUGUAUUCACCAUUUUCCCCCUCUGUGAGUGAAGAGGCCCAAGGCCAGUUGCAUAGUACUUCUGUUAAGAGUUACUCCAAAAGAGGUCACGAAUGAAUUUGUGGGACUUGUUGAAAUUGCACAGGGUGAGAUCCUACACAGUUGUAGAAGAAAAUGUGGCAAGAAUAGGAUUUUGGAAACUUGCCUAAACUUUUCUAAAACUUUCAGGAUUCAAGAAUCAGAAAUCGUAAAGAGAUGGGAGAAUUAGGAGUUUAGUGUCAAACUGGGAAGAGCAGAGCACAUUCCAAGAAAAAAGGAGGAAAAAUAUUGUUUGACAUGAAAACAGCAAUUAUAAAUAUGCUCUCAGUUCAAAAAAGUAGAAGAGAUGGUUAACAUAAUGGGAAGAGAACUGGAAGGGAUAUUUUUAAAAGACCCAAACAGAACAUCUAGAGUUGGGAAUAAAUUUUAAAGUACAAUGAUGGUAUUAACAGUAGUUGAGACACUGCGCAUCAGUGAACUUCAAGACAGCAAUAGAAACUGUCCAAAAUGAGGACAGAAAGAAAAAUGGAAAAAUU